GAUGAAGAACGCAGCGAAAUGCGAUAAGUAAUGUGAAUUGCAGAAUUCCGUGAAUCAUCGAAUCUUUGAACGCACAUUGCGCCCCCUGGCAUUCCGGGGGGCAUGCCUGUCCGAGCGUCAUUUCUGCCCUCCAGCCCGGCUGGGUGUUGGGCGCUGUCCCCCCGGGGACACGCCCCAAAGGCAGUGGCGGCGCCGCGUCGGGUCCUCGAGCGUAUGGGGCUUUGUCACCCGCUCGGGACGGACUCGUCGGCGCUGGUCUUCCUCCAGGCGACCCUUCGGGGCUCGUCUUCCUUCGGUUGACCUCGGAUCAGGUAGGGUUACCGCUGAACUUAAGCAUAUCAAUAAGCGGAGGA
rnacentral:misc_RNA from 1 species